AUGUGCUACCAGGUGAAGUGCGGCACGUGCGGCAAGUCCACGUGGGCGGGGUGCGGCCGCCACGUGGCCUCCGUCCACCGCCAGAUCCCCGAGGGCCAGCACUGCGCCUGCCGCGACUGGCCGGGCGUCUCCGCCGCCGGCGACAAGGCCGCCGGCUCCACCUCCGGCGCCGUCCAGGAGUCCUCCACCUGCGCCAUCCUGUGA
rnacentral:rRNA from 1 species